rnacentral:misc_RNA from 1 species
AGAAACCCACAAGUCUCAGAG